GGGGAAUUUUGGACAAUGGGGGCAACCCUGAUCCAGCCAUCCCGCGUGUGCGAUGAAGGCCUUCGGGUUGUAAAGCACUUUUGGCAGGGAAGAAAAGGCGCCGGCUAACACCUGGCGCUGCUGACGGUACCUGCAGAAUAAGCACCGGCUAACUACGUGCCAGCAGCCGCGGUAAUACGUAGGGUGCAAGCGUUAAUCGGAAUUACCGGGCGUAAAGCGUGCGCAGGCGGUUCGGAAAGAAAGAUGUGAAAUCCCAGGGCUUAACCUUGGAACUGCAUUUUUAACUGCCGGGCUAGAGUAUGUCAGAGGGGGGUAGAAUUCCGCGUGUAGCAGUGAAAUGCGUAGAGAUGUGGAGGAAUACCGAUGGCGAAGGCAGCCCCCUGGGAUGAUACUGACGCUCAUGCACGAAAGCGUGGGGAGCAAAC
rnacentral:rRNA from 1 species